rnacentral:rRNA from 1 species
AUACGGAGGACGCGAGCGUUAUCCGGAUUCAUUGGGUUUAAAGGGUGCGCAGGCGGCCGUGCAAGUCAGCGGUGAAAGCCCGGGGCCCAACCCCGGAAGUGCCGUUGAUACUGCAUGGCUUGAAUGCGGUCGAGGCGGGCGGAACGUGGCGUGUAGCGGUGAAAUGCGUAGAUAUGCCACAGAACGCCGAUAGCGGAGGCAGCUCGCCAGGCCUGCAUGGACGCUCGGGCACGAAAGCGUGGGGAUCGAACAGGAUUAGAUACCCUGGUAGUCCACGCCGUAAACGAUGGGCGCUCGUCGUCGGCGGCAGACAGUCGGCGGCCAAGCGAAAGCGAUAAGCGCCCCACCUGGGGAGUACGGCCGCAAGGCUGAAACUCAAAUGAAUUGACGGGG